rnacentral:rRNA from 1 species
UACAGAGGUCUCAAGCGUUGUUCGGAUUCAUUGGGCGUAAAGGGUGCGUAGGCGGACUUACAAGUCAGUGGUGAAAUCUCCCCGCUCAACGGGGAAACUGCCAUUGAAACUAUUUGUCUUGAGUACAUUUGAGGCGGGCGGAAUGUGUCAUGUAGAGGUGAAAUUCUUAGAUAUGACACAGAACACCAAUUGCGAAGGCAGCUCGCUAAACUGUAACUGACGCUGAGGCACGAAAGCGUGGGUAGCAAACAGG